AGCUGACCAGAACCGGGCCUGAAUGGAACACCACUCAGUUCUAAAUUCCUAAAUGUAAACUACAAAACCAUCUACCCUAAAAUUAAGGAUAUUAAAAGUGUAUACAAAUAUUUUUCUUUUGGAUGCAAUUAUAAUUUGGUGAAACACAACUCAACAAUACCAUGCAAUACAAUGAUACCAUGCCCAUACUAAAUCAAAGAGGUGAGGGAGGAAUACACAUUUCCUGACUUUUUUGGUCCCCAAUUUACCUAUGCCUGUCACGAGGAUUCAGCUGCUGACCUCAAACACACUUUUCCUGACUUUUUCGGUCCCCACCUCGACCUUGCCCAUCCCCCACCCACACGAGAGCUGCUGACAGUGAGUGGGCGGAGCAUGUGCAGGUGCAGUUAGAAGCAAGCAGGAGCACAAGCUGGCAGCAGCACAGACAGAAGGUGCUCCUACAGACACUAAUGGACGAGGAACACAUGGAAACUAACGUUGGGUAAAGUGCAGGAUACACCAGGCUGAAGGAACGCUUACAACGCCUGAGGGAGCUUCAUAAUACAUCUUUAUCCGGGAACAUGGAAUCCGUAAAACACCAAAGCCAGGAACCUCAAGAUCCAACAGACGACAGCGGCCCUCUGAUGAGCCUGGCAGUGUUGAACCUGCUCCCACAGGUAACCCACAGACUGAGGCCAUGACACCUGAUACCUAGCGCCUUGUUUGGUCUUUACCUUUGUCACACAGAACUGCUAAAGAGUAGGAGCUAGAAGUGAAAA